CAGAGGUCUCAAGCGUUGUUCGGAUUCAUUGGGCGUAAAGGGUGCGUAGGCGGCGCGGUAAGUCGGGUGUGAAAUCUUGGAGCUUAACUCCAAAACUGCAUUCGAUACUGCCGUGCUUGAGGACUGGAGAGGAGACUGGAAUUUACGGUGUAGCGGUGAAAUGCGUAGAUAUCGUAAGGAAGACCAGUGGCGAAGGCGGGUCUCUGGACAGUUCCUGACGCUGAGGCACGAAGGCCAGGGGAGCAAACGGGAUUAGAUACCCCGGUAGUCCUGGCAGUAAACGGUGCACGUUUGGUGUGGGAGGAUUCGACCCCUUCUGCGCCGGAGCUAACGCGUUAAACGUGCCGCCUGGGGAGUACGGUCGCAAGAUUA
rnacentral:rRNA from 1 species